rnacentral:tRNA from 1 species
AGGAUUAUAGUUAAAAUAAUAACGUUUAAUUUGCAUUUAAAAAUUACUCUAAGUUUAUCUUA